rnacentral:rRNA from 1 species
CCUACGGGGGGCAGCAGUGAGGAAUAUUGGUCAAUGGACGAGAGUCUGAACCAGCCAAGUAGCGUGAAGGAUGACUGCCCUAUGGGUUGUAAACUUCUUUUAUAAAGGAAUAAAACGAGGCACGUGUGCCUUUUUGCAUGUACUUUAUGAAUAAGGAUCGGCUAACUCCGUGCCAGCAGCCGCGGUAAUACGGAGGAUCCGAGCGUUAUCCGGAUUUAUUGGGUUUAAAGGGAGCGUAGAUGGGUUGUUAAGUCAGGUGUGAAAGUUUGCGGCUCAACCGUAAAAUUGCAGUUGAUACUGGGAGUCUUGAGUACAGGUGAGGUAGGCGGAAUUCGUGGUGUAGCGGUGAAAUGCUUAGAUAUCACGAAGAACCCCGAUUGCGAAGGCAGCUUACUAAACUGUGACUGACAUUGAUGCUCGAAAGUGUGGGUAUCAAACAGGAUUAGAUACCCUGGUAGUC